AGUAUUUACUUUUGUAAGAUUGUAAGAAUUCACUGGGAUCAAGGGGAGAACCGAACUAAUCUUGAAAAUUACACAAAGUAAAACAAAAGCUAAAAAGUAUUUUAACCUGAUUGAUGAUUUUCGUGAGUUUCAGGUCCCUUGCUGGAACUUGGCUUGCUACUAGGCUGGGCCAUUGCUUGAUUCUGUAACAAGAAAUGGAGCCAUGAAUACAGGAUCAUUUGCAGGAAUAGGCUGCAUAUGAAAUGGUGGCACAGGGAACCUAGGUCCCAAAUGUGCAGCCGCUGUUGGCAUGGAUGAACCAGCUAGCACAUUCGGAAAUGGCAUCAUAGGCCGGGUCAUGCCCGCCAUUUCCAUUCCCAUGCCCAUUCCCAUUCCCAUACCCAUCCCCAUCGGCAUAUACUGCUGAACACCAGGAAACAUCAUAGUUAGAGUGACAAAAGAUUGAUUCUCCAUAUAUAGCAGUGGAAAACGAGACAAGAGCAUACCUGUACUUGUAACUGAAGUGAUUUCAAGUACUCAAUUGCUUCAUCCAGCAUUGACGCUUUGUCUGACUGAUGAUACAGAAUACACAAAAAAAAAAGAGAGAGUAUUUUUAGAAUGUGAAAAAAGAAACCGCAUUUGGAUCUAAUGGAGAAAGCAAUUCAAAAUGCUUGUGAAAUUCCAUAAAAGAUUUAAUUAGUAUGAAAACCUUGUUGCAACGAGGUAUUAGUUCU